rnacentral:rRNA from 1 species
CGGGCCCGCACAAGCAGCGGAGCGUGUGGUUUAAUUCGAUGUUACACGAAGAACCUUACCAGGGUUUGACAUGCAAGUGGUAGGAAGCCGAAAGGUGACCGACCCUUCGGGGAGCUUUGCACAGGUGCUGCAUGGCUGUCGUCAGCUCGUGUCGUGAGAUGUUCGGUUAAGUCCGCUAACGAGCGCAACCCUCGCUGUGUGUUAUAUGUGUCACACGGGACUGCCGGUCUUAAGCCGGAGGAAGUGGGGAUGACGUCAAGUCCUCAUGGCCUUUAUGUCUAGGGCUACACACGUACUACAAUGGCCGGUACAAAGGGCAGCCACUCAGCGAUGAGGCGCUAAUCCCAUAAAGCCGGUCUCAGUCCGGAUUGGAGUCUGCAACUCGACUCCAUGAAGUUGGAAUCGCUAGUAAUCGCAGAUCAGCACGCUGCGGUGAAUACGUUCCCGGGCCUU